CCUACGGGCUGCUGCAGUGGGGAAUAUUGGACAAUGGGCGAAAGCCUGAUCCAGCCAUGCCGCGUGUGUGAAGAAGGCCUUCGGGUUGUAAAGCACUUUCAGUGGGGAAGAAAGCCUUGGGGCUAAUACCCUCGAGGAAGGACAUCACCCACAGAAGAAGCACCGGCUAACUCCGUGCCAGCAGCCGCGGUAAUACGGAGGGUGCGAGCGUUAAUCGGAAUUACUGGGCGUAAAGCGCGCGUAGGCGGUCUGAUAAGCCGGUUGUGAAAGCCCCGGGCGCAACCUGGGAACGGCAUCCGGAACUGUCAGGCUAGAGUGCAGGAGAGGAAGGUAGAAUUCCCGGUGUAGCGGUGAAACGCGUAGAGAUCGGGAGGAAUACCAGUGGCGAAGGCGGCCUUCUGGACUGACACUGACGCUGAGGUGCGAAAGCGUGGGUAGCAAACAGGAUUAGAUACCCGAGUAGUC
rnacentral:rRNA from 1 species